rnacentral:rRNA from 1 species
GAUGAACGCUGGCGGCGUGCCUAAUACAUGCAAGUCGAGCGAACAGAUAAGGAGCUUGCUCCUUUGACGUUAGCGGCGGACGGGUGAGUAACACGUGGGUAACCUACCUAUAAGACUGGGAUAACUUCGGGAAACCGGAGCUAAUACCGGAUAAUAUUUCGAACCGCAUGGUUCGAUAGUGAAAGAUGGUUUUGCUAUCACUUAUAGAUGGACCCGCGCCGUAUUAGCUAGUUGGUAAGGUAACGGCUUACCAAGGCGACGAUACGUAGCCGACCUGAGAGGGUGAUCGGCCACACUGGAACUGAGACACGGUCCAGACUCCUACGGGAGGCAGCAGUAGGGAAUCUUCCGCAAUGGGCGAAAGCCUGACGGAGCAACGCCGCAUGAGUGAUGAAGGUCUUCGGAUCGUAAAACUCUGUUAUUAGGGAAGAACAUAUGUGUAAGUAACUGUGCACGUCUUGACGGUACCUAAUCAGAAAGCCACGGCUAACUACGUG